UGAGCAGCUUCCAUUUCAAGACCUUCUAAAUCUAAUUGCAGUGCUAAACAUGUUGUGAUUAAAUCUUUUUCCUCUCUCUAUCUUCCUCUCUCUCUCUCUAUCUCCCUCUCUCCUCUCUUGUCAAACCAAGAGAGAAUUGAAGCUCCCCAUCACCGACACCAAGAGUUUCUCAAGGUGACUGCUAGUUGGUGAUGGGAAAGCAUCAACGUCGCGGUGCUCGUUGUGAUGGACAUGAUCACUCUAACAACGGAAGAAAGAAGAGCCCACGAAAUCCAAAGAGGACGUGCCGUUGUAUUGCAGUGUCCUCGAUAUUUAGAGGGAUAGGGAGAUGCGUGUUCGUGACAUGUUUUCCUGUCAUGCAGUGCUUUGGAUUGGAUGAGUGCCGCCACCGCCACCACCACCAUCACCACCACAGACAUUUCCAUGAGUUUUCAUGACCUCAAUUGUGUGUGACUGGUGGAAAUGUUUGAGGUUUUGCUGCAUAUUUUUUUAUUUAGUACGUCCCAGAUCCUUGUGUAAAUAAAUAUACAUGUCAAGGAAAAGAUCAAGGGUUGGACAAAAGCAUACACGGGUUAUUGCGCGUAUCCGAGGUUUACUUUCGAGGCCCUUUCUCCGAUGAGGAAGUGAAUCGCGAUGUUUUCCCUGUUAUCCUGCAGAAGAUGAAGGGUUGGGGUCCUUGGGGAGAAGAACGCAUUUUGAUAUAUAGAAAGUUUGGGAUUUAGCAUAUGUCAAAAGUAUACAAAAAUCCAAAUUCCAUCAAUUUAGAUGUUGUUGCAGUUAGGAGUUUUGAUUUGAACAUGAUUGAUUUUGAUUGUACAUCUAAUGGUUCUUUAGCUUUUUCUCUUCAAAUUGAAGAAGCAAAUUAUCCAAGAAUGAUAUAGUUCAUUGAACUUAGAUUAAUCUAACCGUCCAUUUUUCUUUU